rnacentral:ncRNA from 1 species
GAGGAGGAAUCCGAAAAGCCUUGAUUAGAGUAGGAA